CUUGGGUACUCGAGUGGCGAACGGGUGAGUAACACGUGGGUGAUCUGCCCUGCACUUCGGGAUAAGCCUGGGAAACUGGGUCUAAUACCGGAUAGGACCACGUUUUGGAUGGUGUGGUGGAAAGUUUUUCGGUGUGGGAUGAGCUCGCGGCCUAUCAGCUUGUUGGUGGGGUAAUGGCCUACCAAGGCGUCGACGGGUAGCCGGCCUGAGAGGGUGUACGGCCACAUUGGGACUGAGAUACGGCCCAG
rnacentral:rRNA from 1 species